rnacentral:rRNA from 1 species
UACGUAGGGUGCAAGCGUUAAUCGGAAUUACUGGGCGUAAAGCGUGCGCAGGCGGUUAUGUAAGACAGAUGUGAAAUGCCCGGGCUUAACCUGGGAACUGCAUUUGUGACUGCAUGGCUAGAUUUUGGCAGAGGGGGGUAGAAUUCCACGUGUAGCAGUGAAAUGCGUAGAUAUGUGGAGGAACACCGAUGGCGAAGGCAGCCCCCUGGGUCAAGACUGACGCUCAUGCACGAAAGCGUGGGGAGCAAACAGG